rnacentral:misc_RNA from 1 species
GUGAGUCAUCGAAUCUUUGAACGCACAUUGCGCCCCUUGGUAUUCCGGGGGGCAUGCCUGUUCGAGCGUCAUUACAACCCUCAAGCUCUGCUUGGUCUUGGGCGUCACCGGUCCCGGUGUGCCUUAAAAUCAGUGGCGGCGCCAUCUGGCUCUAAGCGUAGUACAUACUCUCGCUACAGACGUCCGGUGGAUGCUGGCCAGCAACCCCCCAACUUAUCAAGGUUGACCUCGGAUCAGGUAGGGAUACCCGCUGAACUUAAGCAUAUCAAUAAGCGGAGGA